GUGUCAGCAGCCGCGGUAAGACAGAGGUGGCGACCGUUGUUCGGAAUCACUGGGCAUAAAGCGCGUGUAGGCGGCAUCGUAAGUCGGGUGUGAAAUCCCUCGGCCCAACCGAGGAAUUGCGCCCGAAACUACCUUGCUUGAGGACCAGAGGGGAGCCUGGAAUUCCUGGUGGAGCGGUGAAAUGCGUUGAUAUCAGGAGGAACACCGGCGGCGAAGGCGAGGCUCUGGCUGGUUACUGACGCUGAGACGCGAAAGCUAGGGGAGCAAACGGGAUUAGAUACCCCCGUAGUCC
rnacentral:rRNA from 1 species